CAAUAGCGUAUAUUAAAGUUGUUGCGGUUAAAAAGCUCGUAGUUGGAUUUCUGCUGAGAACGACCGGUCCGCCCUCUGGGUGUGUAUCUGGCUCUUUCUUGGCAUCUUCUUGGUGAACGUUGCUGCACUUGACUGUGUGGAGCGCUACCCAGGACUUUUACUUUGAGGAAAUUAGAGUGUUUCAAGCAGGCAUACGCCUUGAAUACAUUAGCAUGGAAUAAUAAGAUUGGGCUUUUGCUCCAAUUUGUCGGUUUCUGGAGCUGAGGUGAGAAUUAAUGGGGAUUGUUGGGGGCAUCCGAAUUUAGCCGUCAGAGGUGAAAUUCUUGGAUCGGCUAAAGACGGACAACUGCGAAAGCGUUUGCCCAGGAUGUUUUCAUUGA
rnacentral:rRNA from 1 species